rnacentral:misc_RNA from 1 species
CCCGGCAUCGAUGUCGCGCCGCCGCCGGCAUCAGGUGAUGUCCGUUACACCUACUCCUACGAUGUCCUGUGGGAUUGGACACAUCGAUUCCCACCGGCUGACAGACCUUAUGUACAGGAAUGCACCAGGCAGACCGUCAAGGUCCCCCGGCGUGAAGGCGCCGAGGAAACCGUCAGCGUGAAUAUCACGCGGUGCUAUUAAGCGGCUUAAGCCAACACGCUGGUUGAAACGAGAAGCAGCGGCUCUCUCAUCUCCGACUGUCCCGAGUACGGGCCUAGUUCGAUUCCGGCACCACGGCGUGAAACACCGACUUCGCGGCCGAGACCACAUCGUCCGUCACGGAAGAGAACCGGCCCUGUUUCGCGCGCAGAUCCAGCGGACGCGACGGAAUGUCGGCCGGCGGGGUCAGCCGCAAUCCAUCGUCGGCGGACGAUCCUGAUAUAGGCUCAGGAAAUGGUUUUGGUGGAGCC